rnacentral:sRNA from 1 species
GACGGGAGGACAACUUCAAAAAAUGGAUGAGUCUGUUAAGGAAAGAAAUUCUAGUCUAUUGAAAAUAGAGAGAGGAAAGAACAAAGACGGUGGACAGAUCCUGGAUAGGUCAAGGUUGGGCCUUACAACUCUCGCCGUGGUCUAGAUAAAAAACUAUGCGCAUAAAUUAAUCGUUUACCUAACUGACCUAAGUACAGAGAUUUCAUUUUGUGGUGCACAAUUUGGAAGGAUUGUUCAGUAACAGGAUGACUAAUACAAUAUGAACGAAAGAGCUAAAUCAGACGCCACGUAAAACAGUUUCAAAAACAUGGAAGGGCCAAUUCAGCUUGACAAAGACCUACGCCCAGGCUGUGACUAAGAUAGGAGAAUCCAUAGCCACACAGACGGACACAUUGACUCCACCACCUCUCCUUCUCCUCCAACACAGAAGAAA